UACGUAGGGGGCAAGCGUUGUCCGGAAUUAUUGGGCGUAAAGAGCGCGUAGGCGGUCCGAUAAGUCGGCUGUGAAAGUCAGGGGCUCAACCCUUGAAAGCCGGCCGAUACUGUCGGACUAGAGUCCGGAAGAGGCAAGUGGAAUUCCCGGUGUAGCGGUGAAAUGCGCAGAUAUCGGGAGGAACACCUAUGGCGAAGGCAGCUCGCUGGGACGUUACUGACGCUGAGACGCGAAAGCGUGGGGAGCAAACAGG
rnacentral:rRNA from 1 species